AAACCAUGCAUCGGGAACUUUUGCAUCAAAUACUUGAAACUCUCCCAAGCUUCAUAGAGGUUUUCAUUCUCCAAUUGCUUGAAUGAUGUGAGAUCGUUCCUCUGCUU